rnacentral:rRNA from 1 species
UACGAAGGGUGCAAGCGUUACUCGGAAUUACUGGGCGUAAAGCGUGCGUAGGUGGUUUUUUAAGUCCGUUGUGAAAGCCCUGGGCUCAACCUGGGAAUGGCAGUGGAUACUGGAAAGCUAGAGUGCGGUAGAGGGUAGUGGAAUUCCCGGUGUAGCAGUGAAAUGCGUAGAUAUCAGGAGGAAUACCGAUGGCGAAGGCAGGUCUCUGGGCUGACACUGACGCUCAUGCACGAAAGCGUGGGGAGCAAACAGG